rnacentral:rRNA from 1 species
AAAACGACUCUCGRCAACGGAUAUCUCGGCUCUCGCAUCGAUGAAGAACGUAGCUAAAUGCGAUACUUGGUGUGAAUUGCARAAUCCCGUGAACCAUCGANUCUUUGAACGCAAUUUGCGCCCCAAGCCGUUAGGMCGAGGGCACGCCUGCCUGGGUGUCACGC